UACAGAGGGUGCUAGCGUUGUUCGGAAUCAUUGGGCGUUAAGGGCGUGUAGGCGGUUUGUUAAGUCAUGUGUGAAAGCCCCCGGCUCAACCGGGGAACGACGCAUGAAACUGGCAAGCUAGAGUACCGAAGAGGCGAGUGGAACUCCUGGUGUAGCGGUGGAAUGCGCAGAUAUCAGGAAGAACACCGACGGCGAAGGCAGCUCGCUGGGACGGUACUGACGCUGAGGCGCGAAAGCGUGGGGAGCGAACAGG
rnacentral:rRNA from 1 species